UCAUACAAUGGAGGUGCAAGGGCUGUCGCUGGCCUUUAAUAGGUCGUGCACGCCCGAGUGCUUUCACACAUCCACCCACACACCCCUUUGUGCAUCACGGCGUGGGGGUCCCUCGAAAGGGGGAGGCCCACGCUUUUCUUUCACACAAACUUCAAAGUAGUGUAGAAUGUAACUUUCUUUAUUUGCGGUGAUACGCAAUCAAUA
rnacentral:misc_RNA from 1 species